rnacentral:rRNA from 1 species
GGCGGGACACGUGGUAUCCUGUCUGAAUAUGGGGGGACCAUCCUCCAAGGCUAAAUACUCCUGACUGACCGAUAGUGAACCAGUACCGUGAGGGAAAGGCGAAAAGAACCCCGGCGAGGGGAGUGAAAAAGAACCUGAAACCGUGUACGUACAAGCAGUGGGAGCCUCUUUAUGGGGUGACUGCGUACCUUUUGUAUAAUGGGUCAGCGACUUAUAUUCUGUAGCAAGGUUAACCGUAUAGGGGAGCCGAAGGGAAACCGAGUCUUAACUGGGCGUUAAGUUGCAGGGUAUAGACCCGAAACCCGGUGAUCUAGCCAUGGGCAGGUUGAAGGUUGGGUAACACUAACUGGAGGACCGAACCGACUAAUGUUGAAAAAUUAGCGGAUGACCUGUGGCUGGGGGUGAAAGGCCAAUCAAACCGGGAGAUAGCUGGUUCUCCCCGAAAGCUAUUUAGGUAGCGCCUCGUGAACUCA